UCGAGAAUUUUUCACAAUGGGGGAAACCCUGAUGGAGCGACGCCGCGUGGGGGAUGAAUGGCUUCGGCCCGUAAACCCCUGUCAUUUGCGAACAAACCUGGUGGUUGAACAGACUGCCAGCUGAUAGUAGCAGAAGAGGAAGGGACGGCUAACUCUGUGC
rnacentral:rRNA from 1 species